rnacentral:rRNA from 1 species
GAUGAACGCUGGCGGCGUGCCUAAUACAUGCAAGUCGAGCGAACAGACGAGGAGCUUGCUCCUCUGACGUUAGCGGCGGACGGGUGAGUAACACGUGGAUAACCUACCUAUAAGACUGGGAUAACUUCGGGAAACCGGAGCUAAUACCGGAUAAUAUAUUGAACCGCAUGGUUCAAUAGUGAAAGACGGUUUUGCUGUCACUUAUAGAUGGAUCCGCGCCGCAUUAGCUAGUUGGUAAGGUAACGGCUUACCAAGGCAACGAUGCGUAGCCGACCUGAGAGGGUGAUCGGCCACACUGGAACUGAGACACGGUCCAGACUCCUACGGGAGGCAGCAGUAGGGAAUCUUCCGCAAUGGGCGAAAGCCUGACGGAGCAACGCCGCGUGAGUGAUGAAGGUCUUCGGAUCGUAAAACUCUGUUAUUAGGGAAGAAAAAAUGUGUAAGUAACUAUGCACGUCUUGACGGUACCAAAUCAGAAAGCCACGGCUAACUACG